UACGUAGGGUGCAAGCGUUAAUCGGAAUUACUGGGCGUAAAGCGUGCGCAGGCGGUUUUGUAAGUCUGACGUGAAAUCCCCGGGCUCAACCUGGGAAUUGCGUUGGAGACUGCAAGGCUAGAAUCUGGCAGAGGGGGGUAGAAUUCCACGUGUGAGCAGUGAAAUGCGUAGAUAUGUGGAGGAACACCGAUGGCGAAGGCAGCCCCCUGGGUCAAGAUUGACGCUCAUGCACGAAAGCGUGGGGAGCAACAGG
rnacentral:rRNA from 1 species